rnacentral:ncRNA from 1 species
GUGUUCUUACAAAAGAGAGAUGGUUGGCGUCUCCACCAACAAGGACGGAACUACCUUUGGGUUUUACCUGUUAAUGACAAAUUCGGUUACAACUACCCAGAGCCGGUCCUGUGU